rnacentral:rRNA from 1 species
AUUGAACGCUGGCGGCAGGCCUAACACAUGCAAGUCGAACGAGUGGCGGACGGGUGAGUAAUGUCUGGGAAACUGCCCGCUGGAGGGGGAUAACUACUGGAAACGGUAGCUAAUACCGCAUACCAUCGGAUGUGCCCAGAUGGGAUUAGCUUGUAGGUGAGGUAACGGCUCACCUAGGCGACGAUCCCUAGCUGGUCUGAGAGGAUGACCAGACACACUGUAGCUGAGCCACGGUCCAGACUCGUACGGGAGGCAGAAGUGGGGCGUAUUACACAAUGGGCGCAAGCCGAAUUCAGACAUGCGGCGUGUGGGAAGAGGGUCUUCGGAUUGUAAAGCACUUUAAGUUGGGAGGCGUUAACAACAGAAUAAGCAACGGCUAACUUCGUGCCAGCAGCCGCGGUAAUUC